rnacentral:rRNA from 1 species
UACGUAGGGUGCGAGCGUUAAUCGGAAUUACUGGGCGUAAAGCGUGCGCAGGCGGUUUUGUAAGCCAGAUGUGAAAUCCCCGGGCUUAACCUGGGAAUGGCAUUUGGGACUGCAAGGCUUGAGUGCGGCAGAGGAGACUGGAAUUCCUGGUGUAGCAGUGAAAUGCGUAGAUAUCGGGAGGAACACCAGUGGCGAAGGCGGCGACCUGGACGGACACUGACGCUGAGACGCGAAAGCGUGGGGAGCAAACAGG